rnacentral:rRNA from 1 species
UACGUAGGGUCCGAGCGCUGUCCGGAAUUACUGGGCGUAAAGAGCUCGUAGGUGGUUUGUCGCGUUGUUCGUGAAAACUCACAGCUCAACUGUGGGCGUGCGGGCGAUACGGGCAGACUAGAGUACUGCAGGGGAGACUGGAAUUCCUGGUGUAGCGGUGGAAUGCGCAGAUAUCAGGAGGAACACCGGUGGCGAAGGCGGGUCUCUGGGCAGUAACUGACGCUGAGGAGCGAAAGCGUGGGGAGCGAACAGG